GCCGACAGCACCUGCGGGUUCCAGCGCGCGGGCUGCUGGAGGGCAUCCUGGCGGCGUCUCACCUCAGCGAGUCUGGGCAUUGGCUGGCGGUAGGAAGCAGGCGAGGCGCCGGAGGAUAGGGGAUGGUGAAGGAGGAAGCACCGGGGAUAUGGGACAAUGGCUGAGAAAAGUAGCGCGAGCUGUCGGGAGAAAUCGGAGGGAAGGGACAGCGUGCGCGCCGACUGCGUCCUGAAGCGGGGGGCUGAGGGCAGCACGCACUUUACCCUUUUAAAGUUUUAUUUCUUGGGAACCCAAUUUGAAGGAAUUUUGUUGAUUUUGUUGCUAUUUAAACAAAAGGAGAAACGCCCACCAUCUGAAUGCAGCGUUGGCUUUAAAGGUCUACGGGAGACACUAGCCGGCCCCAUCAGUUAGCUGCCUCCACUGGAAACCGCCUGGAAAAGCAAAAGGUCGUGGAAAGUAUUAAAGCAUAUGAAGUCCGGGAUUCAAAACAGCAGACCUUAACCGUAGUUAACUAGAUGGUUCAGCGGCCUGGUCACCAGGCCAGCUGACUCGGGAACGGAGCUUAACCAAAGCCAGAGAGGGGUGCUGGAGGCGGGGGGUGGGGUAGGGCACUGACUCCCACCUUUGAAAGCUUGUCUUGCAAUGCCUAAUCAGCUCUCUGAGGUUACUAAAAGGGAGAGCCAACAAGCCAGGUGCCGGGUUUCUCCAACCUGCUUUUCCCUUUCUGUUUCUCCUUUCUUUCCACCCUUCCAAUAAAAGAUGCCUAGUGAAGAAGGACACAAGAAAAAGUAAAUAUACAAAUAAAAGCUGCUUAGAUGCUCCAAAUUUGAUUAAAUUGAUUGGGUGCAGAAGAGAAAUCUAGAUGGCUUUAGCAAAUGUCUUUGUUGACCUGCAAAUGUCAGGUUUUUGUUUUUGUUUUUUCAGACUUUCUCCACAGCAUCAAUUUUACAUGUCUGAAGAUGAUUGAAAAGUAAGAGUGGAUUGUCGGGGUGGGGGGGGGCGCAAACCCUCAGGGUGAUAACAUAAGGUUUUCUAUUAUAGGGGGACUCCCAGUUACCCUAAUGCUCUAGCAUGGAGUGAUGGAUCAUUGACUGGAGAAAGCCUUAGGCUCUAGGCCUCAGGCUGGGCCUCUACCCUUUAAGGAUGAGUCAAAGCCCCAGCUCUGGGAUCACUCUGAUUUAGGAAGACCAUAAAAGAAAAAUCUCACUUUGAUGCUGGCAUUCUAACUCUAGCCAUAUGUUAAGCAGUAGCUCCUUUGUGGAAUUCGGUCCUUUAUUACUGGGAAGUUGGAAGACUAUGCACUUUUCCCCUCAGGGAGGUAUCACUAUUUAGGGAACCCAGUAAAGGGGAAAAAAAUACUACUCUAAUGGUCUCCCAAGGGAAUUCCAGUGGUUGAUAGCCUCUGCCACCAGGCUUAUGGCCCCUGAGAUGUAACAGUAACCACAAAACAACGGCCAUAAUAGAUAAGCCCUUGGAAAAGAGUAUUUAUAUUGUUGCCAUGUGACUCAGGUUUUGACUAAAAUCUAUAAGGGUAACAAGGACAUAUGAAUAGCAAAACAAUAAAUGAAAAGGAACAGAAUAUUAAAUUGAUUCAAAUAACAUCAGGGAUACAGUUGGUACUGGCCACAUGGUAAAUCAUUUAUUCAUCCCCCGUAUUUCUUCGGAAGCUAGAGUGCUGCUGGCAAGAACAUGACCCAUUUUCAGUUCCACACCAUAAAUGUGGUAACAUGAUCUGAUUAUGCUUAGGCAAUAUUUAAGAAUAUUCAAGUGCAAAUUAAUAUAUUAUUACUUAACUUUGAAUUUAAGCAAAUAUGUUUAUUAUUAAUGAAGAAACCCCUCCUCCAAACUGCCCUGGGGCUUUCUCCAACACAGACUGCUUUUUUAAUGUUAAGUCUUUUUAUGGACCCAUAAGCUUUAAUUAGAUAUACAGCACUCUACAAAACGACAAGAUGGAGCAUGCAGGUUUGCAUUACAGUCUCUGUGAUUCAGAUCUCAAACAUAACAUAAUGCCACCAAUUUAAAGAAGAAGUUGUUUAUUGGAAGGCAACCAGGGAGAUGCUACGAAUUAGUUCAAGAUGUGAAAAGCAAGCAGAUUCUUGAAAGAAUUGCAAUUUUCAUCUUGGGACACCCUCCCCCCACACACACAUACACAUAAAAAGCAUCAUAUUGUCUUCUCCAGAUAUUGUUAGUUUUCAUAAUUUGUAAAAAAUUUAAAAUAUAUUUAAAGCAAUAGAUAUUGAGUACUCAUCUACAGUUCAGUUUCAAGGUGUGACAUGGUAAAGAUUUUCAUUUACAUAUUUAAUUAGUCAUUUUAUACAUUGAUACUCGUGCAUUUCUAAAUCCUGGCUUCAUCCCAGUAGGACCAAAAUAAUACUUCAUUGGAAUGGCCCACAGAGUUCCUGAAAGACUUUCCCUUACCACCCCCUUGGCAUCAGUUAGCACGUUUCACUUUUGUAUCUCAGAUGUCAGUUAAGGCCAACCUGUGUGUGUGUGUGUGUGUGUGUGUAAUAUAUUUUUGAUAGUUGCAAACAAAGAUUGAAAAUGCCAGCCCUUAACUCUGUUUGUAACCUGUGACCUAGGAGAUAUGCCUGUCAUUGCCUGGCAUUGAAUCCCAGCCCCAUCACUUAAUGCUAUAUGGCUUUGGGCAGGUUGCUUAACUGUUUUCUCCUCUGUAACACUGGGAUGGCAGUGAUAAUGAUACCUUUCUUAUAAAGUUGGUAUAAAGCCACUGGUAAACUUGCUGUAAAGCAAUCGUUCUCAAAGUGUGCUCCCUCGACCAGCAGUAUCAGCUUCUUCUGGGAACUGAAUCAAAAUGCAAAUUCUCAGGCUCCGCUCCAGAUGUACUAAAUCAAAAACUGUGGUGAUUCUCAUGCAAGUUAGAGUUUGAGAACCACUGUUGAUGGGAUUAAGUGAGUUUAUUUGAAGUAUUAAAACAGUGCCUGGGACACAGUAAGUGGUAUAUUAAUGAGUAUGUUUAAAUGAGUACAAUAUGAUGUUGCCAAGAUUUACAAAGUUUAAUUUAGGCCUAAAGAAGCAUGCCCAUGUUCUCUGGCAAGUAAACUCCUUCUUAAUCCCAUGUCCAAAAGCUUUAACAUGGCCUGCCAAACCCUUCAUAAUGUGGUCCCCACCUUCCUUUCCUGCUUUUUCUAUUCUCCAUGUGUGCCACAUCUCCAGCCUUCCCUGUUCUCAAACGGAACUGCUUUUUCACAUCUUCAAGACUUUGCCGAUUCUGUUCCCUCUGCCUGGAAAUGCCCCUCUUCCCCCCACUUCCCACACUUGCAAUCUCCUGAAUUCCUGCUUAUGCUUCAGAACCUAACUGCAGUGUCCAACCUCUUCUGUGGUGCCCCAGCCCGCACCCAGUCAGAGCCAAAGACUAUCUGGACCCAUACCUCCCUGCGCAACCCGCUUAGAGCAUUUAUCAUUGGCUGUUGUAAUUGUUUACUUUCCCAUUUUCUGCCUUUGGCUCUUCAACUCAUAGAAAACAAGGAUUUUAUUUCAUUUAAAAUUCUAUUCAUGCCACUUGGCCCUGACGUUUCAAGAGGGCGGCCCAAGGACUUAUACUACAGACUUCGGCUAUCACUGCAGACUUGGGGUAUUUUUUUUUCACAAAGAUCUUUUAAGAAUUUGAACUAGUUGUGAGCAUUUUAAACUUGGGAGAUUUAAUUUUUAUGUUUAAUCACUUUAUUGAGGUCUGAUUUGCAUAUUGUAAAGUUCACCCAGAAUACAUGGUAAUUCAGUGAUUUUUAGUAAAUUUACAAAGUUGUGCAGCCAUCACCUUAAUCCAGUUUUAAAAUAUUUCUAUCUCUCCCAAAAAGUCUUCUCAUGUGUAUAUGCAGUCAUUCACACUCCAAUUUCAAGUCCUAAGCGACCAGUAAUUUGUUUUCUAUCUCUGUAGGUUUGCCUUUCUAGAAAUGUUAUAUAAAUAGAAUUAUACAAUGUGUAGUCUGUAGUGUCAGGCUUUUUUCACUUAGCAUAAGAUUUAUCCAUUUUGUAGUUCAUGUAGUUGUAUCAGUUCAUUCCUUUAUAUUGCUGAAUAAUAUUCCAUUAUAUAGAUAAACUACACUUUAUUUCCACAUUUUUGCUAUUGUGGAUAAUGCUGCCAUACAUAAUUAUAUAAACUCUAAAGGGGGACAUGUUUUCAUUUUUCUUGGGUAUAUUUCUGGGUCGAAUUAUUGGGUCAUGUCAUAACUCUUUAACAUUUUAAGGAAGUGACAAAUUAUUUUCUAAAGUGACUUACUAUUUUAUAUUCCCAUCAUCAAUAUAUGAGGGCUCUAGUUUCUCCACAUCCUUGGCAACACUUGACAUUAUUUGACCUUUAGGUUAUCACUAUUCUAAUAAAAGUGUAGAGGUAUCUCACUAUGAUUUUAAUUUGCAUUUCUCUGAUGACCAACAAUGUUGAUCAUGUUUUCAUGUGCUUUCUAGUCAUUCAUAUAUCUUCUUUGGUGAAAGAUCUAUUCGAAUCUUUUGCCCAUUUUUAAUUGGGUUGUUUGUCUUAAUGAGUUUUAAGAAUUUUUUACAUAUUUCAGAUACAAGCCGUUAAUUAGAUAUAUGAGUUGCAAAUAUUUUCUCCCAGACUGUGGUUUGUCUUCUCAUAUUUUUAAUAUCUUUAAAUGUGCCAAAGUUUUGCAUUUUGAUGAAUUCCAAUUUAUCAAAUUUUUCGUUUUUAUGAAUCAUGUUUUGGAUGUCAUAUCUAAGAAAUUUUUGCCUAAGCCAAAAUCAAACGAUUUUUCUCCUGUGGUUUUUUUUUUUUUAAAGAUUUUAUUUAUUUAUUUGAGAGAGAGAGAAUGAAAGACAGAGAGCAUGAGAGGGAGGAGGGUCAGAGAGAGAAGCAGACUCCCCGCUGAACAGGGAGCCUGAUGUGGGACUCGAUCCCGGCACUCCAGGAUCGUGACCUGAGCCGAAGGCAGUCGCUUAACCAACUGAGCCACCCAGGCGCCCCUCUCCUGUGUUUUUUUUUCAAGUUUAUAGUUCAAUUUGACAAUUUUGUCUAUAAUCCAAUUUGAAUUAAUUGUUCUACAUGAUGUAAAGUGUCUACAUAUUUUAUCAAUUAAUUCAUUUAUUGCAUGUGGAUAGUCAAUUGCCCCUGAACCAUUUGUCAAAGAGUAUCAUUUCCCAAUUAAAUUGCCUUGUCACCUUCAUUGAAAAUCUAUUUACCAUAAUGUAAGGAUUUUCUGGACUUCCUAUUCAUUUCUACUGAUCUAUAUGUCUAUCCUUACACCACUGUGACAUGGUCUUUGACUACAUUAAGUUUUUAAAAUGGGCAGAAUAAGUCCUCCAAAUAUGUUGCUCUUUUUCAAAAUUGUUUUGCUAUUCUAGGUAUGUUGCAAUGCCAUGUAAACUUUAGGAGCAGCUUGUCAAUUUCUACCAAAACAGUUUUUUUGGAAUGGGAUUUUUAUUGGAGUUGUGUUGUAUGUACAGAUCAAUUUAGGGAGAAUUGCCAUCUUAACAAUAAUGGGUCUCAACAGUUCAUGAACAUGGUAUAUCUCCCCAUUUAUUUAGAUCUUUUAAAAUUUCUGUCAGCAAUGUUUUGUAGUUUUUAGGUGUUACACAUCUUUUUUUACCUUUAUUUCUAAGGGUAAUUUAGGUAACAAAAGAUGUGUAUUUCUAAGGGUAACAAAAUAGCACUUUUUAGUGCUAUUAUGAAUUGCAUUAUUUUCUUUAUUUCUAGGUUGUUCAUUAUCAGAGUAUAGAAAUGUUGAUUUUUAUAUCCUCCAACAUUCUCACUUGUUAGUUCUAGUUGGUGUUUUCAGAUUCACUAGUAUUUUCCAGAAGCAGGAUCAUAUCAUCUAAAAAUAAAGACAGUUUUAUUUCUUCUUUUCCAGUCUGAAUGCCUUUAAUUUCUUUUUCUUAUCUUCUUGACAGCCUAUAACUUACCAUAUGAUAUUGAAUAGAAGUGGUUAGUUCUUCAGGUUGCCUGGCUCCAUCAGUAGAGCAUGCGACUCUUGAUCUCAGAACAGUGCGAAGAUUGAAUGGCUUCUGUGAACCUGUAGCCACAAGGUAUUCUGGCGUCAUAUGGAUCACUACAGCUCAACGGUGGUGUCUGUCAUGAUGAAAGUGAGACUGCUCUGUCCCCGUGCAGACAGGAGAUGGGACACUUGGCCACACAGUGGGAGUUGGCAUCUGAUAACUGAACGGAGCUGAGCCGAGCCAUCAGGGCACGGAUGUCAAAACAGCUGAUAUCAUUUCCUUAGAGCAGCCUUACAAAUAAAGCUUUACUCAUUUCCAGCUCACAAUUCUUUGAACUGUCCCACCCUGCUUCAAAAUCAAGGAAUAUUAGACAUUAUGUAAAAAAGAAAAAAAAAAGGGGCACCUGAGUGGCUCAGUCAGUUUAGCAUCAGAUUCUUGAUCUCAGCUCAGGUCAAGAUCUCAUGGAUCCUGGGAGUACACUUGAAGAUUCUCUCCUUCUGCCCCUCCCCCCACUUGCAUGCACGCAUGCCCUCUCUCAAAAUCUUUUAAAUUAAAAAAAAAUUAAAAUAAAAAACCAGGAUAGGGAAUAUUGAUUCAGGACUCGAGACUACUCUCCCAGAACUAGUAGCCCUAUGUUCGCUCCCAGCCCCACUCCCUUGCUUGCUUGGACUAUAGAACCCAGCAAAACUAAGCGAUCACUUUCCUGGCCUUCCUCGCAAGUAGGGGUGUCCAUCUAAUCCAGUCUGGCCAAUAAGAUCUGGGUAGAAUUCAGCUGAGUGGGAUGGGGGUGGAGUGGUGGUUUGGGGAACGCUUUUGCUUUUCUGAUAGAAAGGGACAGCUGCAGCUGGCUCUGGCCGUCCCCUUUCUUCCUGCCCCAAUUGGGCAUGAUGCCUGGAAUAGGAGCUGCCAUUUUGCAACCAGGAAGGAGAGGCCAAGAGAAUCACAGCUAUGCUGGCUCUGGACCCCAUGAGCUGCUGAACAAAUGCUAACAGCUGCCUGCUCCGGACUUUGUGUUCUGUGAAAAAAUUGAAAAUUCUAUUUGUUCAUUAUGCUUCCUUAUAGCUGAAAGCCUUCCUGACUGAUACAACCAGUAUAAACCAUUACUUGUCAUGGAUGGGCAAAAAAAAGGUAGUGGGGAUAGGGGUAUAAGGAUUUUCCUAAGUCUAGUGAAUUCAUCAGAAAGAAGCUGUAGAGGGGCGCCUGGGUGGCUCAGUCAGUUAGGCAUCUGCCUUCAGCUCGGGUCAUGAUCCCAGGGUCAUGAGAUCGAGUCCCACAUCGGGCUCCCUGCUCAGAAGGGAGUUUGCUUCUCCCUCUCCCUCUGCCCCUCCCCCGCUCACAUGCGCACACACUCUUCUCUCACUCUCUCUCAAAUAAAUAAAAUCUAAAAUAAUAAAUAAAUAAAUAAAUAAUCUGUAGACACUUGUUCUCAAAAGCAAGGGAGGUAUCGAGUCCUGCUAGGGUCAAGUCAAGAUGACACAGAAGCUGACUUGAGGAGACUUCACUGGCCAAGGAGGAGACAAUUUGAGCAUUGGAAAACAAUGCCUACAAUGGAUUAAAUUGAAUUAAGAGUGGGUAAAGGAAGACAACCAAGCACUCCUCCUGCCUUUCUGGUAUGAACUGUAUUUCAGAGCAACCAAAGAGAUAAUAAGGGGUUCUUUAUAGAAGAAUUCCAGCUAAUAAAGACAGAAGGAAUGAUAGAGUUAGAAAAACCACCACACUGGAACACCUAAUGAAAUAAAGAAUCCAGGCAGCCACCAUCAAUAACUAUUAGGUGAAAGGUUGACAGGGAACCUUUGGAUGGACCAUGCUGAUAACACCCGAACCCACUGAUCAGUUUUUACAUCUCUAAAAGUAGGGCAGUCAGACACGGUGCACCUCAUGAUGUAAUACAUCAGAAAAUACAAGGCAUCUGUGAAGUUUUCUAGCCAAAAAAAAAUUUUAACAAGAAUCUAACCCAGUUUACAGUAAAUACAAGAACAAGUUGAAUGAUACUAGGAGGAAACAAUCAGCCAAAUCCAGAAUGUAGGAUAUCGUACAGGACAAUGACUCAUUUCUCCCCUUCCUCAAGUAAAUGGCAUAAAAACAGGGCAGGGAGAAGAAUUUACAGAGCAAAAGAGACUUUCAAUUAAAUAUGAUGUGUAGAUCUUAUUUGGAUCCUGAUUUGAAUGAAACAACUAUAAAAUUAUUAUUGGAACUAUUUAGGAAAAUUUGGUUUGUUCUGGGUAUUGUAUCACAUGAAAAUGGCAUUGUGGUUAUGUUUUUUAAAAAGUUAUUCUUUGAUAGAGAUACCUACUGUAACAUUUAGGGAUGAAAUGAAAUGAUGCCUAGAAUUUGCUUUAAACUAUUUGAGCAAAGCCAAACAAAAAUUGUGUUGUGUGCGAUGGGGAGGUUAAGACGAGACAAUUCAGGGGUUUAUUGUAUUUUGUUCUCCACUUUUAUGUAUGGUUGAACAUUUUGUAUAAAUUUUUUAAAGAUAAUACUAUUUUAAUUGGGUUUUCCUGCAUUGUAGAUGCUAAUAGCAACAAAAAUGAGAAAGCAAUUUAAAAAGAACAAUCCUGUCAAAGUCCCUAAAUUCGUUUCCUUCCUUCACAGUGUUAUUUUCAUAAAAGCUAAAAAAAUGCUACAAUCAAAGCUAGGAUAUAAAACAGUGUCAUGUGACUGUACUUGAAAGCAUGGGAUGUUAGGGGCACUUUAGAGACACUAGUCCUGCUCAGCACACUUUCCAUGUUCUUCUCCACGUGUGGAAUACCCACGUUGGUUCUCCACUCUGUUCCUGCAUGUUGCCAAGAGCACCUUGCUCUUUCCAUUGACUUGUAAUGACUUGUCCAUCCUCUUUCACCAGACUAUGAGCCAUCCCCUCCCUCACUCUCAUCAAGGACCAAAAAUCAGUGCCACAUAUGCCAUUUCCAAUGCUCCCUCAACCCCCAACCCCUCACAAAAAAUUCAUAGUGUCUCUGCCAUGACCCUCUUGCCUCUUCCUAGAAGACUUUACUCCAAUUUGUUUUAAGCAGGGGAGAUUAUAAGUAAUUAUAUUACAUAGACAACUGUGCUGUUUUUAAAACUAGCAACAACAAUACAUGAGAUCUGUUUUUAAAACUAGCAACAACAAUACAUGAGAUCCUUAGCACUAGUAACUCUAGUUACUUAGAGCUAGGAACUCUUCCUUUAUUUCUCCUCUAGCCUCUAACUUGCUAAAUCAAGAAAAGGAAACCAGGGGCGCCUGGGUGGCUCAGUCGGUUAAGCGACUGCCUUCGGCUCAGGUCAUGAUCCUGGAGUCCCGGGAUCGAGUCCCGCAUCGAGUCCCGCAUCGGGCUCCCUGCUCGGCGGGGAGUCUGCCUCUCCCUCUGACCCUCCUCCCUCUCAUGCUCUCUGUCUCUCAUUCUCUCUCUCUCAAAUAAAUAAAUAAAAUCUUUAAAAAAAAAAAAAAAAAAGAAAGAAAGAAAAGGAAACCAGGAAAUAUCCUAAUGUUUCUUGAAUUUUGGUCCCAAAGUCAUGGGCAUUGUGUUAUAUGUGGCGAUUCACUCCUAACUGAAAAUAACCCUGGUUUCCUCUGAGCUUUGAUAACCACUCUGAGCCAGCCUUUGGUGAGAGGUCGGUCAUACUUAGGUAGUACAUUCAGCUGACCUUUAAGGAAAGACCUAUCAUUUUUCUGAUACCCCCAAAGUUACAAAUCACAGUGAUGGAAAGGCAAACUGGAUAUCUGUCUCCUAUCCUCAUUGUUGACUUCUAUGUCUCUCAGGUCUUAGCUGCAAUGUCAUAGCCUCUGAUUUACCUCCUCCCCAAUCUGGAUUGGGUGGUCUCCUUUGUGUUCCCAUAACACAUCAUGGGCCAUGUGGCAUGGCUCUUCCAACACAAGAGUACAAUCAUCUCUUACCUUUACUCAGGAUUACAAGCUCCUCC